rnacentral:lncRNA from 1 species
UCUUCUUCUUCUUCUUCUUCUUCUUCUUAUUCUUAUUCUUCUUCUUCUUCUUCUUCUUCUUCUUCUUCAUCUUCUUCUUCUCCUUCUUAAUUUUUUCUUCUCCUCUUCUUCUUCAUCUUCUUCUUCUUCUUUUUCUUCUCCUCCUCAUCCUCCUCCUACUCCUCCUCCUCCUACUCCUCUUCUUCUUCUCCUCUUCUCCUCCUCUCCUCUUAUUCUUCUUCUUCCUCCAAAAAACUAAAUAACAAGGGGGUGCGGGUGUG